rnacentral:rRNA from 1 species
UACGUAGGGUGCGAGCGUUGUCCGGAAUUAUUGGGCGUAAAGGGCUCGUAGGCGGUUUGUCGCGUCGGGCGUGAAAACACCGGGCUUAACUCGGUGCUUGCUUUCGAUACGGGCAGACUAGAGGUAUUCAGGGGAGAACGGAAUUCCUGGUGUAGCGGUGAAAUGCGCAGAUAUCAGGAGGAACACCGGUGGCGAAGGCGGUUCUCUGGGAAUAUCCUGACGCUGAGGAGCGAAAGUGUGGGGAGCGAACAGG